rnacentral:rRNA from 1 species
AUAACUCUAAGCGGUGGAUCACUCGGCUCGUGUGU